GUAAGGAAUAUUGGACAAUGGACGCAAGUCUGAUCCAGCCAUGCCGCGUGAAGGAUUAAGGUCCUCUGGAUUGUAAACUUCUUUUAUAAGGGACGAAAAAAGGCUUUUCUAAGUCGUCUGACGGUACCUUAUGAAUAAGCACCGGCUAACUCCGUGCCAGCAGCCGCGGUAAUACGGAGGGUGCAAGCGUUAUCCGGAUUCACUGGGUUUAAAGGGUGCGUAGGCGGGCAGGUAAGUCAGUGGUGAAAUCCUAGAGCUUAACUCUAGAACUGCCAUUGAUACUAUCUGUCUUGAAUAUUGUGGAGGUAAGCGGAAUAUGUCAUGUAGCGGUGAAAUGCUUAGAUAUGACAUAGAACACCUAUUGCGAAGGCAGCUUACUACGCAUAUAUUGACGCUGAGGCACGAAAGCGUGGGGAUCAAACAGGAUUAGAAACCCUGGUAGUCC
rnacentral:rRNA from 1 species